rnacentral:rRNA from 1 species
UACGUAGGGUGCAAGCGUUAAUCGGAAUUACUGGGCGUAAAGCGUGCGCAGGCGGUUGUGCAAGACAGAUGUGAAAUCCCCGGGCUUAACCUGGAACUGCAUUUGUGACUGCAUAGCUAGAGUACGGUAGAGGGGGAUGGAAUUCCGCGUGUAGCAGUGAAAUGCGUAGAUAUGCGGAGGAACACCGAUGGCGAAGGCAAUCCCCUGGACCUGUACUGACGCUCAUGCACGAAAGCGUGGGGAGCAAACAGG